UUUUGCUUCUAAAAACAGUACUGUAAUGAAUGCUUCCUUGUGAAAAUGUCAUUUUUUAAAAAAGAUUUUACUUAUUUAUUUUAGAGAGAGAGAAAAUAUGAGUGGAGGGAAUGGCAGAGAGGAAUAGAGAGAAUCUCAAGCAGACUCCCCACUGAGUAUGGAGCCCAACACUGUGCUCAAUCCCAGGACCCAAUCCCAGGACCCCAAGAUCCCAUGACUUGAAGUGAAAUUGGAUGCUCCAUGCUCAACCAACAGAGCCACCCAGGAAUGGCGAUAACCCUACUGCUGCUGAGGAUAAUAAUGAUAAUUGCUAGCUGUCAAGUGACUUUAUAAUCUGUACAAGGAACUGUACAGGUUCUGGACCAUUUAUUCAAAAAUUCGGGAUCACUUAUUCAACAAUUGUAUACAUCUACUAACUGCAUCUCUCUGCAACAGAAUAUCAUGUGCAGUGUACAUAGUUCUCUCUCUCUUUUAUCUCACACUGUGCCAGUAAGACAUGAAACAGAUGAAUCACUUGAGCAACACUGAAAGGUAAUCCUCAGCUGAUCUACCCAUUAGUCCAAGUUAAACUGAAACUACUAUCUUCGGAGCAAGCCACAAGGCCUACAGGCAACCUAGACUUUUUUCUUUCUUAAGUUUUAAAAUAUAUUAAAUAAAUAUGAAGAGAUAG